UAAGGUCAAGGACGUGUCCUCAAAAUUCAUAAUAAAUAUCUUGCUCCGUUGUUUUGUGAAUUCUAGGUUAUUUAUCGAAGAUUUAGAGGCAUAAUAACAUGUUAGACGAUAGAAAUAUUAUACUUUGAUUAAAGAUCUAGUACCUCAACAUAAGAAUGGAACGAAAUACUAGCUCCAUACAGAAUAAUGAAGAAACACCGCUGCUGACAAGUACACUGAUGUCUACUACUCCUAAAGUGUACAAACGACGCUGGUACAUUCUUGCAGUAUUCUCAGGUCUCACUCUCAUUCAGGCAGGUGUGUGGAACUCCUGGGGACCUAUAGCAGAUACAUCAUCAUUUGUGUAUGGUUGGAAACACUCAGAUAUUGCCUUGCUUCUAAAUUGGGGACCUAUUGGAUUCUUUAUAGCAGCCGUUCCUAGCUUCUGGCUAUUAGAUGUGGCAGGUUUACGCUGGUCUGCUGUACUGGGGUCAAUAUUUGUGUGCUUAGGUACUGGAAUCAGAUGUCUGGCAUUAGACCUCCGACCAAUGCAACCAUGGUUGAUCCAUGUUGGGCAAGCAUUGAAUGCAUUAGCAGGUCCAUUGUUAUUUGCUGGCCCAGUUGUUGUCUCAGCCGUUUGGUUUCCAAUUCAUGAACAGACCAGGGCUGUUGCUAUAGGAACCACAGCUGGUACUGUUGGCAUGGCAAUGUCAUUUAUUUUAGGUCCUUUGCUGGUCAGAGACAUAGCUGUAUGCAAUCAAACCAGUAUUCCCAAACACCAGAGCCUUGGUGCAAUAUACAGAGACCCUCAGUAUGACUUUAUAGACAAUUCCACAUCACCUGUGUGUCCCAUUGUGAAUCGUACAGAUUUGACUGGAGCACGCAAAGAUAUACAGAAACUCAUGUACAUAGAAUGGUGUUACAGUGGAGUUCUCCUGCUGUUAGCUUUACUGUACUUCCCCAAACAACCCCCCACCCCACCAAGCAUAGCAGCAGGCACUCAGAGGACCAACUUCACACAAGGCUUGAAAGCCAUAGUCAAGAACAAGAAGUUCUGGCUGAUUGCAUUACCAUAUGGACUGCCCAUGGGCUUCUAUGGUGUAUGGUCCAACUUUAUAGAUGCAAUAUUAGAACCCCUUAAUAUACAGCAGGAAGAAGCUGGCUGGAUUGGUUUCUGGGCGAUCGUUGGUGGAUCUGUCACAUCUCUUAUUGUAGGAAGUUUGCUGGACUACUUCAAACACAGGCUGAAACAUGUGACUGUGGGUAUAUACAUUGGGGCCUUAGUUAGCACUGUUUGGCUCAUACUGAUCUGUAGGGAGGUUCUGCCAUUCUCAAAAGUGUGCCUGUACAUAGCCGCAAUACUUAGUGGGGGUCUUGUUAAUACCCCUCCCCCACUGCUGUAUGAGUUGGCCUGCCAGAAUAGCUACCCAAUUGGGGAAGGGGUCACUAGUGGUAUGAUGGCUAUAGUCUAUAACAUUGCCGCAAUGACUUUCCUUUUAAUUAUGAUGGUACCUUCCAUGGAUACAAGUUGGUUGAAUUUCGGCUUGUUAGGAUGUGUAUGCCUGGCUGUACCUCUUUUACUUAUUCUGAGGGAGUCUUUUAACAGGCUAGAUCUGGAUGAGAGAGCUCCUGGGACACCUAAAUCUGGCAAAUCUGGGCCCCUUGUACCCACUGUGUAACCAGAAACCCGAAAAGAUAUUCAACACAUAUUGAGUAAUGUAAAACACAAAGUAAAGCAAAUGCUUGCCAUAUGAUAACAUAUCGAAGUAUUGACGAAUGCUGGAGAAUAAGCCUGAGUAGACUUAUUGAAAGACAAAUCAGUGCUCAACUAUUUACCUCAUUUAUAAGAAAUAGUUUAUGAGGAGAGAAAUAUCCACCUUUAAAAAAACUAUUUUUAUGUGAGGUGGCACGAGAUAUUCACAUUUUAGGAGUAGUUCAUAUUGAGUGGAUAUCCAAUUGUGCUCCUAAAAUAUAAGAAAUUGUUAAGACUAUUAAGAAAUUCAAUUACUUAAAAGAAAUACAUGUGGUUGGUGAAGUGGAUAUCCACUUCAAAAAUAUUGUUCUUAUUUAUAUAGUCAUAGUUAUAUUGGGUGGAUAAUGGAUAUCCACUUCUUAGAAUUGUUUAUGAGGGAAUAUCUACAUGUAAAAUAUUGUUAUGUGUGUCAGAAAUCCGCAAAAAUAGUUUGUUGAGAGGAUAUCUAAUUCCAAAAAUAGAGUCUUUAUGUUUAUUUGUGGUAAGUAUUCAUGUCCAUACUUAACAGAGAGUGGAUAUGAAAUAUAAAUAAGGAAGUAAGAAUUCUCUUCAGACCGCAGGAGGAUAAAAAUCAUAUUUUAAUAAAACAUCACAUUUUACGAUUGUCAGCACCUUUUAUUUAAAACUAUUUUAUCCCAUUUAUAUAUUAUUUUUAGCACAAUUUCUGUUUUAUGUAUUUUAUUUACAUGAUCAGUUAUUGUUAAAGAUCUUUUAUUUCAUUUUGUACGUGUAUAUUUUAUUAAUUCAAUCUGUUUUGAAUUUUUCUCUGUUAGCAGGAACUCAAGAUCCAGAGUUUCUCAUAAUGGUACCCUACUUGGUGCAAUUUUGAAAAUCUUCAAAUUAAAGCCCAUGGGUAUUUAAUUCAAGUUCAUUUAGCAAAUGACCUUGAUUUUGUUUGAAUUUUGGUUAUAUGCAAUAUAUUAUGCAUACAAAUAUAUUAAGUAUGCACCAUCUUCCCUAGAAGUAGAAACAUAUCUUGGAUUCUUGCUAUGGAGGAUUGUAUGUCAAUCAAAAACAAAAACAACCUCAAGGGGUUCUCAGGGUACAUGCAGCUUUGGAAUAAAUAUAAUUACCUAGAGUUCAAUGUUUAUGUUGUUGUUUCCUGAUGUUGUGAAAAAACAACAGGAUCCUUGUCACAAGGCUAAUUAGUC
rnacentral:misc_RNA from 1 species